rnacentral:rRNA from 1 species
GUGGGGGAUAUUGCACAAUGGGGGAAACCCUGAUGCAGCGACGCCGCGUGGAGGAAGAAGGUUUUCGGAUUGUAAACUCCUGUCGUUAGGGACGAUAAUGACGGUACCUAACAAGAAAGCACCGGCUAACUACGUGCCAGCAGCCGCGGUAAAACGUAGGGUGCAAGCGUUGUCCGGAAUUACUGGGUGUAAAGGGAGCGUAGACGGCUCUGCAAGUCUGGAGUGAAAACCCGGGGCUCAACCCUGGGACUGCUUUGGAAACUGUGGAGCUUGAGUACCGGAGGGGUAAGCGGAAUUCCUAGUGUAGCGGUGAAAUGCGUAGAUAUUAGGAGGAACACCAGUGGCGAAGGCGGCUUACUGGACGGUAACUGACGUUGAGGCUCGAAAGCGUGGGGAGCAAACAGGAUUAGAAACCCUAGUAGUCC